AAUGCGUAGAUAUAUGGAAGAACACCAGUGGCGAAGGCGGCUGUCUGGUCUGUAACUGACGCUGAGGCUCGAAAGUAUGGGUAGCAAACAGGAUUAGAUACCCCUGGUAGUCCAUACCGUAAACGAUGAAUGCUAAGUGUUGGAGGGUUUCCGCCCUUCAGUGCUGCAGCUAACGCAUUAAGCAUUCCGCCUGGGGAGUACGGCCGCAAGGCUGAAACUCAAAGGAAUUGACGGGGGCCCGCACAAGCGGUGGAGCAUGUGGUUUAAUUCGAAGCUACGCGAAGAACCUUACCAGGUCUUGACAUACUAUGCAAAUCUAAGAGAUUAGACGUUCCCUUCGGGGACAUGGAUACAGGUGGUGCAUGGUUGUCGUCAGCUCGUGUCGUGAGAUGUUGGGUUAAGUCCCGCAACGAGCGCAACCCUUAUUAUCAGUUGCCAGCAUUAAGUUGGGCACUCUGGUGAGACUGCCGGUGACAAACCGGAGGAAGGUGGGGAUGACGUCAAAUCAUCAUGCCCCUUAUGACCUGGGCUACACACGUGCUACAAUGGAUGGUACAACGAGUUGCGAACUCGCGAGAGUAAGCUAAUCUCUUAAAGCCAUUCUCAGUUCGGAUUGUAGGCUGCAACUCGCCUACAUGAAGUCGGAAUCGCUAGUAAUCGCGGAUCAGCAUGCCGCGGUGAAUACGUUCCCGGGCCUUGUACACACCGCCCGUCACACCAUGAGAGUUUGUAACACCCAAAGUCGGUGGGGUAACCU
rnacentral:rRNA from 2 species